CAUUACAGAGAAUCUCUUCUCUUAAACCCUGUGAACCUACCUUUGUUGCCUCGGGGGGCCGCCCGGGAGGCUGCGUUCUGCGCGGCGCCCGGGAGCCACGGCGCCCCGGUGGCCCUUCAAACUCUUGUAUUGUAUGGCCUAUCAGAAACACUAUUUAAUAGUUAAAACUUUCAGCAACGGAUCUCUUGGUUCUGGCAUCGAUGAAGAACGCAGCGAAAUGCGAUAAGUAAUGUGAAUUGCAGAAUUCAGUGAAUCAUCGAAUCUUUGAACGCACAUUGCGCCCCCUGGUAUUCCGGGGGGCACGCCUGUCCGAGCGUCAUUUCGACCCUCCAGCUCUGCUGGGUGUUGGGGACCUACGGAGACGUAGGCCCUGAAAAACAGUGGCGGGCUCGCGCAUACCCGGACGUAGUAAUGCUGUCGUCUAGGGGCUGUCGCGGGUGCUAGCCGUGAAACUGACGCAAGUCACUUUUCAGAAGGUUGACCUCGGAUCAGGCGGGAAUACCCGCUGAACUUAAGCAUAUCAAUAAGCGGAGGAAAAGAAACUAACAAGGAUUCCCCUAGUAACGGCGAGUGAAGCGGGAACAGCCCAAAUUUGAAAGCUGGCCGCAAGGUCCGCAUUGUAAUUUGGAGAGGAUGCUUCUGGUGAGGUCCUGACUGAGUCCCCUGGAACGGGGCGCCGCAGAGGGUGAGAGCCCCGUAGAGUCAGAUGCCGAUCCUGUGUGAAGCUCCCUCGACGAGUCGAGUAGUUUGGGAAUGCUGCUCUAAAUGGGAGGUAAAUUCCUUCUAAGGCUAAAUACCGGCCAGAGACCGAUAGCGCACAAGUAGAGUGAUCGAAAGAUGAAAAGCACUUUGAAAAGAGGGUUAAAUAGCACGUGAAAUUGCUGAAAGGGAAGCGCACGUCGCCAGACUCGGCCUCGGUGGUAACCCGGCGUUCUCGCCGGUGGCUCCUCCGAGGUCGGGCCAGCACCGGUGGUUCGGGGGCAGGAAGCGCAGGA
rnacentral:rRNA from 1 species